GGCGGCGGGGACCCGGGACGGCGCCGGGAGGGGACGCCGCGGGCCAGAACGAUACUGCUUGCUGAGCUCCCAGGCCUCCUUCAGCAGGACCAUUGGACAUCAGAAACUGGAAGACUUCUGUGGGGGCCUGACUCACCUCUGCCCAAGGCUGCCAGCCAUGCUGCCCUCUGCCUCUGCCUCCAGAAGGAGUCUUCAAGCACCUUCCGUCAAAGCCCACUGCCUGCAAGGAAUGUCCUGGGCCCUGAGAGGCCCGCACAUUUGGAGAGUGAGUUGAUGGUUACAGAAUGCACGUCCCUAUGCUGUUAGGUGAAGGGAGGAGAGUAAUUCGCUGGAAAUGGGUAGCUUUUUUCCUUUUUACAGACCGAAAAACUGAGAUCUUCAAAACUGAAUUGACCUGCCCAAGUUAUACAAAAAGGGAAUUAGAUGGGUGAGCACUGCAGGCUCUCUACCCCAGGUGGCAGGGGUCACACUGCCACAGGACUAUCUGACAUGAGAGGGCAGAAGGUGACAGCCGUCCAUCAGUGCCCUAGGCAGGCCUUGCUGCCUGGGGACUCUGUGGGACAUCCCUUCAGCCCUCAAUGGUGUGCAGGACAGUUCCACCUGAGCUGCUUUCACAGAAAUAGUUCUGCCCACCCUGACUUAUCCUGUGCAUCUGGGAAAGCCUGGGUCCAGGGUGGAGCGCAGGUGUUCCUCCUGGGGCAGUUGCCUGAGGGCAGAUCUGAGCUGGAAGGGCCAGUGAGGUAGGGCCAGGAAUCGGGCUUCUCAUGCACCUGGGGAGCUGGGGUAAUGCCAUACCCAGGGCUCCAAAGGCCAGCAGUGGCUCAGGUUUGUGAGAUCCCCAGAUCUGCUUCUGUGACCUCUGCAGUUGAGCACAGUCAGGAUGCCUGCUACUCUGCUAAGUAUUAGCUCAUGUAAUCCUCAGGUUUUACUAACUUCCAGGUAAAGAAAUAGUCCCUAAAGGUUAGGUGACUGGGCCAGGCAUAGGACUGGGAAGGAACAGAACUGUCAGGUUCAAAGCCUGCCUGCUUCACCACCUGCCAGCAUGUUGGCUCCCUGGGAAGCAUCCUAGGAUUGGACCAAUCUACUGUCCUCAGAGAAGGAUGUCUGCCCUGCACCAGCCCCUCACUAGGAAAGAGGCGUGUUCCUACUUGGUGAACUCAGGGCCCCUCAGGGCAGGAGGGAAGUACCUCCUUCCUGUCCUUGCAGCUAGAAGAAAGAUGGACAGCUUCAUGGGUCCAUGGUACACAGCAUUGUUAGAAGAGAAGAAAGACCAAAAGUACUGGCAGACACCUUGUGUAGAAAUGAGAAAACCUGCUUCAAACAAACUCGGGAACGUGGAGAUGAAUCCCUCUAAAGGAAGGACAGUCUUAGAGCAUACAAAACAACCUGUGUGCAGUCAACAAACUGCAAAUGGUAAGUAUUGGAUCCAAAAAUAAAAGCAAAAACUAACAACAAAUUAAAUAAUAAAACAACAAAAAAGCAAAAAAAAAAAUAUAUAUAUAUAUAUAAAUAUCAGGAAAAAAAGCAAAAAGCACCUCAAAAAUGGAUCCCAGGGUGAUCUUAGAGAUGUAUUGAAAUGGGCUCCCAAGAAGACCAAAGAAGACAAAAUGCCCUGGCCCCAAGAAAAACACACUCAAAGUGAUCCUGCAGUGAUGGUGGCAGAGAAGGAUGGUGCAAGGCUCCGAGAACCCCAGGGCCAACGGUGCCCCACCCCCACCUCACAGUUUGCCAGGAAGUGGGAGGGGAGCCUGAGGAGCCCAGAUGAGGGAGCAGGGAGCUCCCCUCCUCAGACAGGGAGCCUCCCGAGAACAGUGCUGACCCUGGAAACCAGGGGACCUUGCUCUGCACACCACCUUCUGCAGCCUAAGAUGCAGCUCAGGGCACCAGACUCCUUACCUCUUCCCUGAUCUCCCUCGAUGCUUCCUUCCCCGUUGUCACUGGGCCUAGAAAACCCUCCUGGUGUCCCCUUCCUGCCUCUGUGCCUAUCUGUCCACCCGUUGGCCUUUCCCAGUGGGCGGUCUUAGUCUAGCAGGGGGAGAGUGAGUGGUGAGCUGUCUGCACUCUGUACUGCAACCCUUCCCAGCUCCUGUGGGUCAACCUUGGGGUUGGCCUCCCCAGCUCUGGUCCUCUGGCCCCUGCCCCACCCUUGGGUGCCAAGUCCCUGCUCUUCUGGGAGUCUGACCUUGUCCUUCCAAGUGCUACAUGCCAUGUGCUGGGGAAGCAUGGGGACAGGUCGGCCUGCAUGCAGCCGGUGGGCCUGUGACAAGGUACGGAAGGGUGGAAGGUGAUGGUUGCAAACCAGAAGGCCCAAGGGGCCAGGGGCCUAGUCUUUCUCAUUUUUGGGUCCCUGGUGCCAACUCAGAGCCUGGAGAAUGGUAGAUACACAAUAAAAGAUUGUUGAAUGAAUAGUAGAAGAAAAUACAAGCACAGGAAGCCAGGGGAGCGAUUCCCCCCUUUAGUCCUGGAUGUUGAGCCGCGGACCUGGUGUGUGCUUAUGAGUACCACACUACUGCUCCAGCCCCGGCCCUUUUUAUGUUUAUCAUUUGUUUGUUUGUUUUUUGGUACCAGGGAUUGAACCCAGGGGUGCUUAACCACUGAGCCGCAUCCUCAGCCCAUUUUAUUUUUCACUUUGAGACGGGGUCUUGCGAAGUUGCUUAGGGCCUCACUAAGUUGCUGAGGCUGGCUUUGAACUCCGGAUCCACUGGACUACAGGUGGCUGCCAUGGUGCUGGGCUCCAGUGAAGCAAUUGUGAGACCACAUUGAGUUUAAAUCGGGGUUGUUUACAGAAACACUGAUGGGGACAGACGUUAGGACACCGUGGGGAGGGAGGCCGACCAGGCAGCUCCUGCAUGCCACAGUUGACAGAGCUGCUCAGCUUCAGCGUUGGCUGCCGUGUGGGAGCGUGGACCCUUGUCCCCGGUCUCAGAGCUGUCAAGAGAAGCCAGAAGCCCGCAUUUUUAUGUGAGCUCUUAUGAUUUUUAAAUCUUGCAAUUAAUAUGAUUCUGAAAUAGGGAAUAUUUCUCAGGAUAACACGGUGGGAUGACAAAGCCCAGAGGCAAGCCAGAGGAAUUCAGAGGCCCUCCGUUUGUGGCCUUGUCAUAAAACUUCAGAGAGUUGAGCUGGACUGUAAGGUCGUUAUUUGUAAUAGAGACCGAUGAAUGCA